rnacentral:rRNA from 1 species
GGGUCAGUAGGUUGGUCGUGCCACCGGUACGUACUGGUCUCACUGAUUCCUCCUUCCUGAAUAACCGUAAUGCCAUUAAUUUGGUGUUGCGGGGAAACAGGACUGCUACUUUGAAAAAAUUAGAGUGUUUAAAGCAAGCUAACGCUUGAAUACAUUAGCAUGGAAUAAUGAAAUAGGACGAUCGAUCCUAUUUUGUUGGUUUCUAGGAUUGACGUA